rnacentral:rRNA from 1 species
AUUGAACGCUGGCGGCAGGCCUAACACAUGCAAGUCGAGCGGAUGAAGGGAGCUUGCUCCUGGAUUCAGCGGCGGACGGGUGAGUAAUGCCUAGGAAUCUGCCUGGUAGUGGGGGAUAACGUCCGGAAACGGGCGCUAAUACCGCAUACGUCCUGAGGGAGAAAGUGGGGGAUCUUCGGACCUCACGCUAUCAGAUGAGCCUAGGUCGGAUUAGCUAGUUGGUGGGGUAAAGGCCUACCAAGGCGACGGUCCGUAACUGGUCUGAGAGGAUGAUCAGUCACACGGGAACUGAGACACGGUCCGGACUCCUACGGGAGGAAGCAGUGGGGAAUAUUGGAAAAUGGGCGAAAGCCUGAUCCAGCCAUGCCGGGGGUGUGAAGAAGGUCUUCGGAUUGUAAAGCACUUUAAGUUGGGAGGAAGGGCAGUAAGUUAAUACCUUGCUGUUUUGACGUUACCAACAGAAUAAGCACCGGCUAACUUCGUG